UACUUACCAGUCCAAGGUUGUUCUUGAGAUUUCAACAUUCCUUAUCUCUUAAGCUCUCUUUUCCUUUUUUUUAAUAUAAAUAUGGGACACUACUAUUGUUUCUCAUCUUAUUACUAGCUAGCUUAAUUGCAUCUCGAGAUACAGGUUGUUUAAAAGAGCGACUUAUUUAAAAGAGAGAAGAUGCCACCACCAGGUUGGGGACCGCCGCCGGGAGGACCACCCGGAGGCCCGGGAGCUUGUGGCUGCUUCGGCUUCUUGUGUGAUGGUAUCUGCAGGGUUGUGAAUUCAUGCUGCUAUGUUCUGUGCUGCUGCUGCAUCUUUGAAAGGUGUUGUGGACGAGGUGGACCAGGCGGUCCAGGCGGUCCAGGUCGUUUCUGAUCACCGCAUGUUAACUUGUUGAUUGUUAUGAAUACAAUCGUGGCAUAAAUAGUGGGGAUCAAGAUUUGUGACUGUUUUAAUCCCACCACCCUCGAAGCUUUCUUCUUCGAGUACCUUGUAUUGUUGUUAAUUACUAGGGUUAUGUGAUAUCACAACCAGACGGAAUUUUUUUUUCUCGUAUUUUUACGUCUUGUAAUAAUAUUAUGACAUGGGAGUGCUGCUUUUCUUUCCUC